rnacentral:rRNA from 1 species
UACGUAGGGAGCAAGCGUUGUCCGGAAUUACUGGGCGUAAAGGGUGCGUAGGCGGCGCAGUUAGUCAGAAGUGAAAUAUCGGGGCUUAACCCCGGGGCUGCUUCUGAUACUGCCGUGCUCGAGUGCAGGAGAGGUAAGUGGAAUUCCUAGUGUAGCGGUGAAAUGCGUAGAUAUUAGGAGGAACACCAGUGGCGAAGGCGACUUUCUGGACCGUAACUGACGUUGAGGCACGAAAGUGUGGGGAGCAAACAGG